GGGACUUUAGGACCCAGGAGCGAGUAGCAAGGGCUUAAAGGCUGAGGUGUCCAUAGGGGCGGGUUCUUGUGUUUUCAGUCAGCUGCUUAGCCAGGGAAACGGAGCGGAGUGGAACUGCGGUAAGUUUGAAUUGUUUGGCACGCUGUUGUACUAGGCCAGCAUUAGCUGCCUCAUCAUGGGUUAUGGCACUUAUAAGUCUGUUCGUUCUUGUAGAUUACAGAUGAGUGUUGGUGGCCAGUGUGCUGGCGUUCCGUAUGUUGAAGGGUUUGUGUGCAGUUACCAGUAAUUGAAUCACGGAAGUGUCUCUGGGUUUAACGCCGAAUGGGCGUGUAACUAGAACGAAUCUCGAUAUCCGCUGGGAACUCUCUCACUCUUGCGGCCAGGUGCGUAUAACCAACAAAGCAUUGAGACGGUCCCCCUGCUCUGCGCGCUGAGAAGAUUAAUAUCAAAUGUUUUUCAACAGACUGUGCUGGUGUUACAGGGUGUUUGUAUACUGUAAUUGCUGCCGUGUGCUUGGGCGGGUGGCCUAGCCAAAGUAGGUAUUUGUUAGCCUGAUUAUCUAAUUAACUGUUAGACUUUGGCCUUGCAACGACUCAUUCUUAUUCUAUGUGUAGCCUGUUGUUAUACCCGGUCCCGUGCGCCCCGUCAUACGUGUGCACUGGCUUCUGUGUGCUCCGGCGUCUGUGUGCUCCGGCGUCUGGUGUGUCUGUUCACACGAGGUUAUUAGAAGCCUUUUGUGAAUGAACCCCGUCUCUCGUCUUGUUUACUUUGUUUGGACAUCCAGCCACUGUUUUCUCAUGUAUGAAACUUAUGUAUGUUUUUACCAUUCAUUGAUACCAUGCCUAUGAACUUAUAGGGUUAAUGUCGAGCUCUUCCGGUCAUUAAUCUUUUACCAUUGAGAUAAAUUGUUGUGUUUGGGCAGUGUGCAAUAUUACGGGGGGACAGAGGAAAGUGCUAGUGGGCAUGUGCAAUUUGGAUAGCUUUAGCUGAUCAUCAUAGUAGCACUCACGCACUUUACUUGUUCUCAUAUUUAAGUGGCCAUUGCUUGGGUUCUCGUAGCUAGUGGGCGGAGCUCAGUGCUCAAGGUAUUAAGGUGACCACUGUGUGGUGUGAUUAGAAUUUGGGUGUCCUAACAAAGCACUUUAUGGUUAAUGCAGUGUAGCCUUUGUUGCUGUCUUUGGUGUGCUGAAUCCUUUUGGAGCCUUGUGCUCAUGAUGAACUAAAGGUGGAUUUCCUGUCAACAUUGAGUACUGUGGUCCGGCCCAAUAUUUAGUGUAAAUAUCUCCUACGGAGGCUUGUCUACGAGAACUCAGGUAUGUGGCCAUGAUGUGUUGCUACCAUUAAUGUUGUUCCUGUACGAAGCACCUAUUUUAAUAACUCUGCAGACCAUAAAUAAAUUAUGUCUACAUUGUUUUUGCUACAUCAGCCUCCAAUUGUUUCAUUCACUUGAAUAGUACUAGCGUGGGGUACAUCUUUAGUCUACUGUACUAGUUGGGUCUCUCAUCCCAGUCCAAUAAAUGGGAGUGGCGUAGUCAGACCAUCUUGUGGUAUAGUACAACUGGGUUAU